UACGGAGGGUGCGAGCGUUGUCCGGAAUCAUUGGGCGUAAAGGGCGCGUAGGUGGCUUCUUAAGCGUGCGGUGAAAGCCUGGGGCUCAACCCCGGGUCGGCCGUGCGAACUGGGGGGCUGGAGCACUGUAGAGGCAGGCGGAAUUCCGGGUGUAGCGGUGGAAUGCGUAGAGAUGUGGAGGAACACCAGUGGCGAAGGCGACUCUUUGGCCUGUAACUGACGCUGAGGCGCGAAAGCGUGGGGAGCAAACAGG
rnacentral:rRNA from 1 species